rnacentral:rRNA from 1 species
CUAGUAACGGCGAGUGAAGCGGCAACAGCUCAAAUUUGAAAUCUGGCGCACGCCCGAGUUGUAAUUUGUAGAGGAUGCUUCUGGGCAGCGGCCGGUCUAAGUUCCUUGGAACAGGACGUCGUAGAGGGUGAGAAUCCCGUAUGCGACCGGCGCGCACCCUGCACGUAGCUCCUUCGACGAGUCGAGUUGUUUGGGAAUGCAGCUCUAAUUGGGAGGUAAAUUUCUUCUAAAGCUAAAUACUGGCCAGAGACCGAUAGCGCACAAGUAGAGUGAUCGAAAGAUGAAAAGCACUUUGGAAAGAGAGUUAAAAAGCACGUGAAAUUGUUGAAAGGGAAGCGCCUGCGACCAGACGUCGCGGCAGGGUUCCGCCGGCCCUUGUGGCCGGUCCACUCCCUGUCGCGAGGCCAUCAUCGUCUGGGCCCGCCGGAUAAGACCGUGGGAAUGUGGCUCGCCCUCGGGUGAGCGUUAUAGCCCACGGAGAUGCGGCGUGGCUCGGGCGAGGUCCGCGCUUCGGCAAGGAUGAUGGCGUAAUGGUCGCCGGCGGCCCGUCUUGAAACACGGACCAAGGAGUCUAACAUCUAUGCGAGUGUUUGGGUGUCAAACCCCUACGCGUAAUGAAAGUGAACGGAGGUGGGAACCGUGAGGUGCACCAUCGACCGAUCCUGAUGUCCUCGGAUGGAUUUGAGUAAGAGCAUAGCUGUUGGGACCCGAAAGAUGGUGAACUAUGCCUGAAUAGGGUGAAGCCAGAGGAAACUCUGGUGGAGGCUCGCAGCGGUUCUGACGUGCAAAUCGAUCGUCAAAUUUGGGUAUAGGGGCGAAAGACUAAUCGAACCAUCUAGUAGCUGGU